rnacentral:misc_RNA from 1 species
UGCUGCGCGAUCCGACCUUUGACCGCGACAUCUGGAAGAGCCUUAUCGGUGAAAUACUCUUCGUCAUCGCCACGGAUAUUCCCGAAGUCCAGAGCGCCUACGAAACCCUCUGCCG